GGAGGUCAGAGCACGGAGGUUUUGAAGCAGAGAGACUUUGGAGUUCUGUUUUGAGUCGGGGGAACGUUCGCAAAGAGUUUUUGGAAGAUUAGCUAAGGAGAAAACCGUAAGGUUAAUGGACGUAAUUCCAUGGUCUUCAAGGAGAAAAUACAUGGUGGUGCCCUUAUUGUGUGUGGAAUGAUUUGCAUGGGAGCUCAGUCUUGGGGGUUAUCCUGAAACUCCAAUGGUCUGUCAUUCUCAAUUAGAGAGGAUUGAUUCAUGUGGUGAGGAGUAGCAGGAGGUCCUAGUCUUGGAGGCUUCCAGUAUGCUCCAAGGUGAGUAAUAACGGACUAACCUCGUGAGUGUGGUAGGGUGAAACCCAUUGACAAUGGCUUUGCAAAGCAGUAGAGGCCACCACGAGUGCACGACCCACCAUAGCUCGGCAAUCAUUCAAGUCCGGACGAGUCAAGUGUCAAGUGUAUUAGGUCAAGUGUAAAAGGGUAACAAGUCAUGUGUAUAGUUGAAUUCAUCUGUAUGUAAUUGCAUGUUGUAUGUGAUUGUGAUAAUAUGCAUCUUGUAUAUGAUUUGAUAACAUGAUUUUUGUAUAUCUAGCUUACCCUUGCUUGUGUGUUUGUGUUUGCUUGGGUAUGCUUUUUCUUUUGCGAUGAUCAUCCACUUGGAUGAGAGCAGAUGACGAGGAUGUUCGUGUGGAGACAACUUUAGAAGGAGGUAGCGAUGCUGCUGUUUAGUCUUCAUAGGACUUUCUUAAUAAUUCCAUGUAUUUCGGAAUACCUUUCCUUUCACGUUUCCAACUUAAACUAUUAGUGUGUUUAAGUUUUAAAUUCUGACUCUACUUGGGAUGAUUGUAAUCCUAAUUACUCUAAACUGCUUUCAUAUAUUAUGCA